rnacentral:rRNA from 1 species
CUACGGGGCGCUCCAGUGAGGAAUAUUGCACAAUGGAGGAAACUCUGAUGCAGCAACGCCGCGUGGAGGAUGACACUUUUCGGAGCGUAAACUCCUUUUAUAUAGGAAGAAGAUGACGGUACUAUAUGAAUAAGCGCCGGCUAACUCCGUGCCAGCAGCCGCGGUAAUACAGAGGGCGCAAGCGUUACUCGGAAUCACUGGGCGUAAAGAGCGUGUAGGCGGAUUAAAAAGUCAGAAGUGAAAUCCUAUAGCUUAACUAUAGAACUGCUUCUGAAACUCUUAAUCUAGAAUAUGGGAGAGGUAGAUGGAAUUUCUGGUGUAGGGGUAAAAUCCGUAGAGAUCAGAAGGAAUACCGAUUGCGAAGGCGAUCUACUAGAACAUUAUUGACGCUGAGACGCGAAAGCGUGGGGAGCAAACAGGAUUAGAUACCCCCGUAGUC